rnacentral:rRNA from 1 species
UAGGGAAUCUUCGGCAAUGGGGGGAACCCUGACCGAGCAACGCCACGUGAGUGAAGAAGGUUUUCGGAUCGUAAAGCUCUGUUGUUAAGGAAGAACGAGUGUGAGAAUGGAAAGUUCAUACUGUGACGGUACUUAACCAGAAAGGGACGGCUAACUACGUGCCAGCAGCCGCGGUAAUACGUAGGUCCCGAGCGUUGUCCGGAUUUAUUGGGCGUAAAGCGAGCGCAGGCGGUUAGAUAAGUCUGAAGUUAAAGGCAGUGGCUCAACCAUUGUAGGCUUUGGAAACUGUUUAACUUGAGUGCAGAAGGGGAGAGUGGAAUUCCAUGUGUAGCGGUGAAAUGCGUAGAUAUAUGGAGGAACACCGGUGGCGAAAGCGGCUCUCUGGUCUGUAACUGACGCUGAGGCUCGAAAGCGUGGGGAGCGAACAGGAUUAGAUACCCUGGUAGUCCACGCCGUAACGAUGAGUGCUAGGUGUUAGGUCCUUUCCGGGACUUAGUGCCGCAGCUAACGCAUUAAGCACUCCGCCUGGGGAGUACGACCGCAAGGUU